rnacentral:rRNA from 1 species
CCUACGGGAGGCAGCAGUGAGGAAUAUUGGUCAAUGGUCGGGAGCCUGAACCAGCCAAGCCGCGUGAGGGAUGAAGGUACAGAGUAUCGUAAACCUCUUUUGUCAGGGAACAAAGGCGGGGACGUGUCCCCGGAUGAGUGUACCUGAAGAAAAAGCAUCGGCUAACUCCGUGCCAGCAGCCGCGGUAAUACGGAGGCUGCGCGCGUUAUCCGGAUUUAUUGGGUUUAAAGGGUGCGCAGGCGGUCUGUUAAGUCAGCGGUCAAAGCCCGGGGCUCAACCCCGGCCCGCCGUUGAAACUGGCAGUCUCGAGUUGGAGAGAAGUAUGCGGAAUGCGCGGUGUAGCGGUGAAAUGCAUAGAUAUCGCGCAGAACUCCGAUUGCGAAGGCAGCAUGCCGGCUCCACACUGACGCUGAGGCACGAAAGCGUGGGUAUCGAACAGGAUUAGAUACCCUUGUAGUC